UACGUAGGUGGCAAGCGUUGUCCGGAUUUACUGGGCGUAAAGAGCGCGCAGGCGGUCAGAUAAGUCGAAUGUGAAAGCCCCCGGCUCAACUGGGGAGGGUCACGCGAUACUGCUCGACUCGAAGGCAGGAGAGGGAAGUGGAAUUCCCGGUGUAGUGGUGAAAUGCGUAGAUAUCGGGAGGAACACCAGUGGCGAAGGCGACUUCCUGGCCUGUUCUUGACGCUGAGGCGCGAAAGCUAGGGUAGCAAACGGG
rnacentral:rRNA from 1 species